GAUGAAGAACGUAGCGAAAUGCGAUAAGUAAUGCGAAUUGCAGAAUUCCGUGAGUCAUCGAAUCUUUGAACGCACAUUGCGCCCUCUGGUAUUUCGGAGGGCAUGCCUGUCUGAGCGUCAUUGUCAACCCUCAAGCUCAGCUUGCUGUUGGGUCCCCGUCGUUGCUUUAACGGCGGACCCGAAAGGUAAUGGCAGAGUCCGUGAGACCCUAGACGCAGCGAGCUUCUAGCACGCGUCUGGACGUUUUUCGGGCUCGGUCUUAACUAGAUGAUAACUUCCGAUUGACCUCAGAUCAGGUAGGGAUACCCGCUGAACUUAAGCAUAUCAAUAAGCGGAGGA
rnacentral:misc_RNA from 1 species